AGAGUUUGAUCAUGGCUCAGGACGAACGCUGGCGGCGUGCUUAACACAUGCAAGUCGAGCGGAAAGGCCCUUCGGGGUACUCGAGCGGCGAACGGGUGAGUAACACGUGAGCAAUCUGCCCUUGACUCUGGGAUAGCUCCGGGAAACCGGGAUUAAUACCGGAUAUGACCACUUUAGACAUCUUUUGUGGUGGAAAGAAUUUCGGUCAGGGAUGAGCUCGCGGCCUAUCAGCUUGUUGGUGGGGUAACGGCCUACCAAGGCGACGACGGGUAGCCGGCCUGAGAGGGCGACCGGCCACACUGGGACUGAGACACGGCCCAGACUCCUACGGGAGGCAGCAGUGGGGAAUAUUGCGCAAUGGGCGAAAGCCUGACGCAGCGACGCCGCGUGGGGGAUGAAGGCCUUCGGGUUGUAAACCCCUUUCAGCAGGGACGAAGCGAAAGUGACGGUACCUGCAGAAGAAGCGCCGGCUAACUACGUGCCAGCAGCCGCGGUAACACGUAGGGCGCAAGCGUUGUCCGGAAUUAUUGGGCGUAAAGAGCUCGUAGGUGGUCUGUUGCGUCCGCUGUGAAAACUCGGGGCUUAACCCCGAGCCUGCAGUGGAUACGGGCAGACUAGAGGUAGGUAGGGGAGAAUGGAAUUCCUGGUGUAGCGGUGAAAUGCGCAGAUAUCAGGAGGAACACCGGUGGCGAAGGCGGUUCUCUGGGCCUUACCUGACACUGAGGAGCGAAAGCGUGGGGAGCGAACAGGAUUAGAUACCCUAGUAGUCC
rnacentral:rRNA from 1 species